AUGGCCGUACCAUGCUGAAUAUACUGGUUCUCGUUAGAUCACCGAAGUCAAACAUCAUUGGGCGCGGUCAGUACUUGGGUGGGUGACCACUUGGGAACACCGCGUGCCGUU
rnacentral:rRNA from 1 species